rnacentral:rRNA from 1 species
GACGAACGCUGGCGGCGUGCUUAACACAUGCAAGUCGAACGGAAAGGCCCUGCUUUGUUGGGGUGCUCGAGUGGCGACCUGGUGAGUAACACGUGAGUAAGCUGCCCUUGACUUUGGGGUAACUUCAGGAAACUGGGGCUAAUACCGGCAAGGAGCUCCUGCUGCAUGGUGGGGGUUGGAAAGUUUCGGCGGUUGGUGAUGGACUCGCGGCUCAUCAGCUUGUUGGUGGGGUAGUGUCUUACCAUGGCUUUGCCGGGUGGCCGGCCUGAGAGGGUGACAGGCCCCAUCGGGCCUGAGGUAAGGCCCAGACUCCAACGGGAGGCAGCAGUGGGGAAUAGUGCACAAUGGGCUGAAGCCAGACCCAGCAACGCCGCGUGCGGGAUGACGGCCUUCGGGUUGUAUACCGCUGUUGCCUGUGACGAAGCGUGAGUGACGGUAAUGGGUAAAGAAGCACCGGCUAACUACGUG